GUUCCUACGGGGGGCAGCAGUCGGGAAUAUUGCGCAAUGGAGGAAACUCUGACGCAGUGACGCCGCGUGCAGGAAGAAGGUUUUCGGAUUGUAAACUGCUUUAGACAGGGAAGAAACAAGACAGUACCUGUAGAAUAAGCUCCGGCUAACUACGUGCCAGCAGCCGCGGUAAUACGUAGGGAGCAAGCGUUAUCCGGAUUUAUUGGGUGUAAAGGGUGCGUAGGCGGUCGGAUAAGUUAGAGGUGAAAUCCCGAGGCUCAACUUCGGAAUUGCCUCUGAUACUGUUCGGCUAGAGAGUAGUUGCG
rnacentral:rRNA from 1 species